GGCUCAGUAACACGUGGCUAACCCACCCUCGGGACGGGGACAACCCCGGGAAACUGGGAUUAAUACCCGAUAGGCGAAGACUCCUGGAACGGGUCUUCACCCAAAAGGUGUUAGGGUCAUGCUCCUUAACAUCGCCCGAGGACGGGGCCGCGGCCGAUCAGGUAGUUGGCGAGGCAACGGCUCACCAAGCCUAUAACCGGUACGGGCCGUGGGAGCGGGAGCCCGGAGAUGGGUACUGAGACAAGGGCCCAGGCCCUACGGGGCGCAGCAGUUGCGAAAACUUGUCAAUGCACGAAAGUGUGAACGGGCUACCCCGAGUGCCGUCCGCUGAGGAUGGCUUUUCUCUGCUGUAAGAAGGCGGAGGAAUAAGAAGAGGGCAAGUCUGGUGCCAGCCGCCGCGGUAAUACCAGCUCUCCGAGUGGUAGGGAUGAUUAUUGGGCCUAAAGCGUUCGUAGCCGGCCUUCCAAGUCUUUCGUUAAAUCCAGCGAUNCAAUCGUCGGACUGCGGGAGAUACUGUUAGGCUAGGGGGCGGGAGAAGCCGACGGUAUUUNCGGGGUAGGGGU
rnacentral:rRNA from 1 species